rnacentral:rRNA from 1 species
AGCGAACGCUGGCGGCAGGCCUAACACAUGCAAGUCGAACGAACUCUUCGGAGUUAGUGGCGGACGGGUGAGUAACACGUGGGAACGUGCCUUUAGGUUCGGAAUAACUCAGGGAAACUUGUGCUAAUACCGAAUGUGCCCUUCGGGGGAAAGAUUUAUCGCCUUUAGAGCGGCCCGCGUCUGAUUAGCUAGUUGGUGAGGUAAAGGCUCACCAAGGCGACGAUCAGUAGCUGGUCUGAGAGGAUGAUCAGCCACAUUGGGACUGAGACAGGGCCCAAACUCCAACGGGGGGAGGAAGUGGGAAAUCUGCGGAAAGGGCGGAAGACCAACGGCGGCAAGCCGGGUUAAAUAAUAAGGGUCUAGGAAUGGAAAAAUUUUUUCACCGGGAAGGUUAUGAACGUACCCGGAGAAGAAGCCCCGGCUAACUUCGU